UUGCCUCUGCUUUUUCCGGUGGAGGAGUAGGCGCUGUCAUUCAGUGACGUUCGUCAUCUACAAUUUUGAGAGGACACUAAAAAGUUCUCUAACUGUGAUACGACUGAGAAUGGAAGCAAAUAAACCACUUCAUACAUCAGCAGCUGGAGAUGCAUGUGGACCAGAGGAGACUAACACCACGGCGUCGGCAGCAAAGGUCGCCGUUGCCCGUCUGCCUGAAAUCCGUCUGGUGGUGGUGGGAUGGAGGUGGCCCGGGAAAAGCCUGACAGGAAACACCAUCAUCGGCAGGGAGGAGUUUCACUUGGAACGAGCGGCUGAGUUCUGCAUCAAGAGGGAGACUGAGGUGGACGGACGGGAGGUCACCGUGGUGGACACUCCCGGAUGGUUUUCCACGCAGGAUACGCCGCCCUCCUAUAAACAGGAAUUGGCGAAGGGUCCUUCUCUUUGCCCGCCGGGGCCUCACGCCUUCCUACUCGUCAUUCCCAUCGGCAUGUUCACAGAGGUGGACCGCAGCCGCAUCGAAGAGCACCUGAGCCUGUUUGGGGAGCGGGUCUGGAACCACACCAUCGUGGUGUUCACCUGGGCGGAGGUGCUGAGGAAGAUUUCCAUCGAGAGGUACAUCCGCAGGGAGGGGCAGGAGCUGCAGUGGGUCCUCAGGAAGUGUAAGAAAAGGUACUUCGUCAUCAACAACUCCAUAUUUGGGGAGAAUCCUCAAGUGGGGAGUUUAAUGCAGAGGGUGGAGAAGAUGGUGGCAGAGGAGGGGGGGCACUAUAGUUUAGAAGCUGAAGUGAAAGCUUUGGAUCAGAACCAGAAUGCAGCCGGAGAGGCUCAGGCGACACCAGAACCGAGCUCUGAACAGGAUCUGACGAACGCCAUGGGAGUGGUGUCGCUUUCCUCUGAGUGAGACUGUAAGGAGAAACCGUCACUUCUAGAGCCCAUCAAGUAAAUAUAGGCACUAAAACAUCCAGAGCAACUAAGAAACAAAAGUGUGACUCGGUCACAAUUAAAUAAAUCCAGUUUGUGGCUCAUUUUUGUGAACUGUUACUAAAUGUGUAAAGAAAUGUGGUUUAUCAUAUUUAUUAUUAGUAACAAACAUGUUACUGUGUGCACUUAUUGUGGUAUAGAAAGCCUUUUUAACAUCUUGUCUUCCUGUUUUAUCCUGUGAUAUUUGGGUAAAAAAAGAUGUAUUUAGUGAAACAGUAAAGCUUCUGACACGUUUUUUUACGCUAAAAGAAGCACAGAAUGUUACACAAUAGAGAGCCUUUGCUGUUUUGAAACACUCCUUAAUGUAAGUGGAUCACAUCACUGUAUUUAAUGAACUGGUUUCCAAAUGAUUCCCUUUUCUUUGUGACCAAAUCGGUGAUGUUUUGUUCCUUCUGCUGCCAUGUUUACAUGUUUAGUUUGCCUCAUUUGUUAAAAAAAAAUGGGUCACAUGCAAGUAAAGAUGCUGAGAAGAAAUGAAACGAGUAUAAAGUUUUAUUUGUGGCAUUUAUGAAACUUGUUUGUUUGUUUGUUUUUUUUUUAAUCAUUUUAUGAAUCGGCUGUUUGUGUUAAAUUGAAUCUAAAUCAACUAUUUCAACUUUUUUUUUUUUUUUUAAGGGAACAGAAGAAUUGUUAAUUUUAGAGUCAGAGAAAAUCCUAUUUAGGACCCAUUCCAUUCAUGUGUUGUAAAAUGGUUUCCAGUUGUCUAUUAAUUUUAAUUAUGCUAUUUUCAGCCAAAAUAAAAAUGAAAAACAAAUGUUUUUUAGGAAAUGGUUUCUGUAGAAUGCCAGUUGUUCAUUGGAAAUUCUGAGUUGUGGGUGGGACUAUUGGUCCAGAGCAACCCCGCCCUCUCUUCCCAUCACCACUACUGAGAGCUCUUUGAUUGUAUUUUUUUCUACAUCACAAAUAGACUCUUUCAAACUGACUUUUUUGUCUUGCUUCUGAUUCACAUCGAUUGAAAUAAAGAAAUUCUCAGAAAUACACA